AACUUUCGGGAUUCGUUCGUUAGUUCCAACAUUUCCCGGUAGAGGCGUCGUAAUAAGCGCAAUUUUAUCUUACAAACUUUCUCUUACAAUUACCGAAGCAUUUUCUUUUACAUAAAAACAGGGCAAAAUUAUCAUUGCUAAUUAGAUAUUGUGCUCUUUGUUAGUAAGUUUAUUGUUUCUUCGCCAUUAUAAACGCAAAUAGCGUUCAGCAUCAUCGAUCUUUCACGUGACCUCUGGCCUGGAUUUAAAAUUUUUACCGGUAUUUCCGAGUGCACGGCGGCACGGAUUCAUUCGUUCGUACACUCAAGACUGCUUUGUUUCUAAAACUAGUUUCUUGCGCUUCGAUGUCUCGCGUUAUUUAACUUGGGGUGAAGUUACGUGUUUGCAAGCGGACAUGUAAGCCCGGCAGUUGGGUUUCGGUCGUGAGCCAUUCGGAACAGGUCUGCAUCGAAACGGGAGCUGGAUUUUGCUGCGGCUGACAACGGCAAUAACGACAUGCAGUAAUGAAGACGGCACCAGUAUAAAGCAACACACUCCACGCACUAAACAGAAGCUGCUGCCUGCUACAACAAGGUCAUUGUGUGGACAUUGGCUACUACUACAAGGUAAACAACACAUGGUUCAGAAAUAAAUAUGUUUGAUAUAUGCUGUAUUGGCUUGCUGUUUGCAGCAGAUAUGAAUGUUUGUUCAUAUUUAUGGUUCAGUAUAAUUGGUUCGAACAUAUAAAACACACAUAAAUUUGGCUAAUCUGUGCUGUAUCUCAUGUGUCACCGUUUUGCCUCAACAGAGUCUAUGCCAAGCACAUCUUGGUCAUCACAGGAGCUCCUAUCUGCGCCAACAGGAAGGGGCUGGAGCCGAAUUUGCAAGGCUUUUACACCAAGAACAAAGAAGCACAUGCAGAAGAAUAUGAAUGAGAUAUCAAGUCUGCAGAGGACUGUGUCAAGACUGAAAAGAGUUUCAGCCACCAUUCCACCAGCACGGACAUUUGGUUGAGUCAUCCAGGUAACUCAAAAAGGACUUUCUAGAAAUUCUUCGUCUUCAGGUGCACCUGCAACAUCUGACCAAGCACGGACGACGCUGGCCAAAAGAUUGAGUUCCAUCAGUUUGCCCUUAAUCAGCUUCCUAGCCAUGUUAAUUCCGUUUGUGCCAAGUGUAAUUUUUCUUCUAUAAAUGCAAGCUUUCUCAUUGCCCAUUUUUGUUAGAGGUCAUUCAUCCUCAUCCAAAUAUAAAGGUCAACCGAUUCUUCGCUGAUACUUAAUACCAGUCACUGUCUAGCAGCCUAACAUAUCUGUAGCAGUAUCUUCUAGUGUAUGUUGUCAUGUGCAAUUCCUCUCCUGAAAUAGCUGAUGCAGCAUCGGCAUGCGUCUUGCAUUAACCUAUGCACAUGUGCUAUGCACCAUUUUACUUUUCUUGAUGUUUUUAGCCUUCAAUGCUUGCAGAGCAGAGUGGCUUCUCUCUUGAAUGCAAGCUUUCUCAUUUUCCAUAUUCCUAGUCUCGUUGAUGAUUGCUCCUCUUCCUUGAUAUCCUGGGUCUUUGUGCAAGCUACAGUGAAGUGAUUGAUUGCAGAAUCUGGUUUUGCUGCCACACUUGGCUGUGGUAACUGUAUUACGUUUCUCAGAUGUGGGGGCCUGGUCAGUUGCAUUGGUAAGCAGUCCCUCGAGGUAAGCAUUUGCUCCUGCAGUCCGCAAAGCGACAUAGACUCCCAGUAUACACACACCGUAACUGGUGCGCCCCGUUCGUUCUGGCCUGCUGCAGUAAUGGGCAAAUUGUGCUUGUGGCUUACCUCGGCCAUGAUUUGCUCAAAACGGAGACCAGCAUAUGUGCUCACAUGGUUCGAAGUGUAUGAAGUUGAUAGCCGUAUGGGUGGAAAGGCCCGCAAGAAUGGCUGCCGAAGGUGAUGCCUACAAAAGCGACUUCUCCACAUUGCGACAAAGUGUGAGCCACACAUAGCAGCCCCCGAAAGAAAAUAAAUGUGCACGUUGGAAAGGAGUUAACGCUAAAAUGCCGGGUAGUACAUGUCGCUGUGUUAGUUGCGGCAGCAGAUGCCUGCGUCACCUGAUUGCUUCGCAAUGGAAGUUGCUCAUCUUCAACGGCAACUGUUCAAACAGGUGCGAGACUCUGUCCAAUCUGUUUGUACCGCAGGUUGUCGCUCGUUACCAGACCACCACAUGUGACAAAGGCAAGCAUUAUGCCGUAAGAUGGUUCGUAGCCAAUGUAUAAUGUAUUGUCUGAACCUCAUGCGGUGACUGAUUGCUGUUUAAUCUUGCUGUUAUGCCACAUGGUUACGGUCGCAGUUUUAUGUUUUUCGAAUAUUGCGGCCUGGUCGGUUGCACUGAGAAGCAGCCUCUCGUAGUAAGCAUUUGAUCCUGCAGUCUGCACAGCGACAUAGACUCCCAAUUUACGCACACCGUGAUUCGUGCUCCCCGUUCACCCUUUCCUGCUGCAGCCAUGGGCAAAUUGUGCCUCUGGCCUUUCUCGGCCACGAUUAGGCAUGAACGGAGACCAGCAUAAGUGCUUACAUGGUCGGACGUGUAUGAAGUUGGGUGGAAAGGCCCGUAAAAGUGGCUGAUGAAGGUGAUGCCCACGAAAGCGACUUGUCCAUAUUGAGACAAUGUGGGGCACCAAGUGUGAGCCACACAUUAGCGGCCUCCAAAAGAAAAGAAACAUGCAGGCUGGAAAGGAGUCAAUGCUAAAAUGAUGGGUAGUCCAUGUCGCUGUGUAGGCUGCGGCAGCAGAUGCCUGCGUCACUUGAUUGCUUUGCACUGCAAGUUGCUCAUCUUUAACAGCGACUGUCGCCGCAAACAGGUGGGACACUCUGUCCAAUCUGUUUCUGCUGCUGGUUGUUGCUCGUUAGUAGACCACCACGUGCGACGAAGGCAGGCACUACGCCUGUAGGUAGGCAGCUCAAUGUACCCCAAGAGACCCGUGUAUGUGAAUGCUCACUGUUGCCAUAUGGUUCGUCGCCAAUGUAUAAUGUAUUGUCUGAACCUCAUGCGGUGACUGAUUGCUGUUUAAUUUUGCUGUUAUGUCACUUGGUUAUGGUCGCAGUGUUAUGUUUUUAGAAUAUUGCGGCCUGGUCGGUUGCACUGGGAAGCAGUCUCUCGAAGUUAGCAUUCGCUCCUGCAGCCUGCACAGCGACAUAGACUCCCAAUUUUAAUGCACCGUGAUUCGUGCUCCCCGUUCGCGCUUUCCUGCUGCAGCAAUGGGCAUAUUGUGCCUCUGGCCUUUCUCGGCCGCGAUUAGGCAUGAACGGAGACCAGCAUACGUGCUUACAUAGUCCGAUGCGUAUGAAGUUGAUAGCCAGAUGGUUGGAAAGGCCCGCAAAAGUAGCUGAUGGAGGCGAUGCCCACGAAAGCGACUUGUCCAUAGUGAGACAGCAAGUGUGAGCCACACAUUAGCGGCCCCCGAAAGAAAAGAAACGUGCAGGUUGGAAAGGAGUAAAUGGCUAAAAUCUGGGGUAGCCCAUGUCGCUGUGUAGGCUGCGGUAGCAGAUGCCUGCGUCUCCCGAUUGCUUCGCAAUGCAAUUUGGGCAUUUUUAACGGCGACUGUCGCUGCAAACAGGUGGCACACUGUCCAAUCUGUUUCCGCUGCUAGUUGUUGCUCGUUAACCUGACCACCACGUGCGACGACGACGGUGAGCCGUUUACGAGCUCGCGUCAAUGAUUCCAGCGUAUCUCGACAUGCAAACUUUAUUUCUGCUAUUGCACGAGAAUGUACACUGCUUGUCUUCUGCCAAUAAAGUCGCGCGUUCUCUUCA